rnacentral:tRNA from 1 species
GCCCGGAUGGCGGAACGGCAGACGCGGCGGCCUCAAAAGCCGCUGUCCGAGAGGGCGUGCGGGUUCGAGUCCCGCUCCGGGCA